UCCAAAUUCUGAAGCCUGCUGAAAUUUUCCUGGACUGCCUGAGCCAGAAUGUGCAGCUCCAGCUAAGAUAUCUAGAGAUCCUGCAAGACUAUUUUAUCCAUUAUGUGACCUUCUUACUUGACAUUCCUUUGUCAUUGUUCUGAAUCCAAGCACAAAGAGCUGAAGAAGGCUGGGAUGCAGAGGAGGGGAGAGGCCAGGAUUGUCCCCCAGAGCUCCCAAAGCAGGUGUGCCUGGGCAGGUCUGGGCUCUCACACUGCAGCCAAGGCUUUCAAGUGGGGUGACACAAUUCAAGAGAGGAUACUGAUGAAAUCACACUCAAACCUGAGUCUGAACAAGUCAGCAGAGCUCAGCUUCUGGGAGUGAGUAAUGUUAAAACCAAGUAUACGCUCAAGUGUUUUGCUGGAUCAUGGCCAUAUUGAACUAUAAUGACCUAAAUGGAUUUACUCCCCAGACAAAUUUACCCUUUGCUUUCCUCCUGCCCACACAUACAUUUGCACCUCAAUCAAUCACUUAUGUCUCCUUCUAUUUCCUGCAUCCUACUUUUAUGAAAAAU